rnacentral:rRNA from 1 species
GGACUACAGGGGUUUCUAAUCCUGUUUGCUCCCCUUGCUCUCGUGCCUUAGCGUCAGGAUUAAGCUAGAGAAUCGCUUUCGCCACCGGUGUUCUUCCAUAUAUCUACGCAUUUCACCGCUACACAUGGAAUUCCAUUCUCUCCGCUCGUCCUCAAGAAACGCCGUUUCAAACGCAGCUUCGGGGUUGAGCCCCGAAAUUUCACGUCUGACGUUCGUUCCCGCCUACGCACCCUUUACGCCCAGUAAUUCCGACUAACGCUUGCACCUUCCGUAUUACCGCGGCUGCUGGCAC